GACAGAGGGUGCAAACGUUGCUCGGAAUCACUGGCGUAAAGGGCGUGUAGGCGGGAAGGAAAGUCGGGCGUGAAAUCCCUGGGCUCAACCCAGGAACUGCACUCGAAACUUCUUUUCUUGAGUGCCGGAGAGGAAAGCGGAAUUCCUGGUGUAGAGGUGAAAUUCGUAGAUAUCAGGAGGAACACCAGUGGCGAAGGCGGCUUUCUGGACGGUAACUGACGCUGAGACGCGAAAGCGUGGGGAGCAAACAGG
rnacentral:rRNA from 1 species